rnacentral:rRNA from 1 species
AUGUGGUUUGUACAUAAACACGUCAUUCUAACGAAAGAUAAUUUGAUUAAGCGCAACUGGACAGGUUCUACUAGGUGUAGUUUCUGUGAUCGGGAUGAAACUAUCCAGCAUCUUUUCUUUGAUUGCCCGUUGGCGAGAGUGUUGUGGCGCUCGGUGCAAAUUGCCUUUAACAUUACUCCUCCGAAUUCGGUCAGGUCGUUAUUUGGAACGUGGCUUGUUGGUAUAGAGGCCGAAACAGCUAGACAAAUUCGAGUAGGAGCAUGUGCGUUGUUAUGGGCAAUUUGGAACUGCAGAAAUGAUUUGCCUUUUAACAGAACAACAACUAUUCAUUUUUUUCAGGUUUUAUUCCGGGCUACCGCGAUAAUCCGUAUGUGGUCCUUACUCACUCUGACGGAGGCCAGAGAGCGUUUGGUUACUGCAUCUGUCCGGUGGGAGAUGGUAGCGCGGGAUAUCUUCAAUCGGUUUGGAUGGCGGUCAUGUAAUAGGAUAUGCGAUUUAGUUUACCUAUCUAUCUAUCUUAUGCCAGCCGGUUGUGGCUUUUGGGCCUUUUUUGUUUUUCUGGCUCUUUGUGAGCCAGCCUACUUUUUUGCAGCAGAUUGCAAGACCUUGUUAAACUACUUUAUUUAUUUAUAA